rnacentral:rRNA from 1 species
GACGAACGCUGGCGGCGUGCUUAACACAUGCAAGUCGAACGGUAAGGCCCUUCGGGGUACACGAGUGGCGAACGGGUGAGUAACACGUGGGUGAUCUGCCCUGCACUUCGGGAUAAGCCUGGGAAACUGGGUCUAAUACCGGAUAGGACCACUGCCUGCAUGGGUGGUGGUGGAAAGCUUUUGCGGUGUGGGAUGGGCCCACGGCCUAUCAGCUUGUUGGUGGGGUGAUGGCCUACCAAGGGGACGACGGGUAGCCGGCCUGAGAGGGUGAACGGCCACACUGGGACUGAGAUACGGCCCAGACUCCUACGGGAGGCAGCAGUGGGGAAUAUUGCACAAUGGGCGCAAGCCUGAUGCAGCGACGCCGCGUGAGGGAUGACGGCCUUCGGGUUGUAAACCUCUUUCAGCACCGACGAAGCGCAAGUGACGGUAGGUGCAGAAGAAGGACCGGCCAACUACGUGCCAGCCGCCGCGGUAA